rnacentral:rRNA from 1 species
UGAGGAAUAUUGCGCAAUGGGGGCAACCCUGACGCAGCAACGCCGCGUGAGUGAGGAAGGUUUUCGGACCGUAAAGCUCUGUCGAGCGGGAAGAAAUGCAUGGUGGCUAAUAUUCAUCAUGCUUGACGGUACCGCUAGAGGAAGCACCGGCUAACUCCGUGCCAGCAGCCGCGGUAAUACGGGGGGUGCAAGCGUUGUUCGGAAUUAUUGGGCGUAAAGAGCGUGUAGGCGGCUGAAUAAGUCAGAUGUGAAAUCCCUGGGCUUAACCCAGGACGUGCAUUUGAAACUAGUCAGCUUGAGUAAGGGAGAGGAAAGUGGAAUUCCUUGUGUAGAGGUGAAAUUCGUAGAUAUCAGGAGGAACACCGGUGGCGAAGGCGACUUUCUGGCCCUAUACUGACGCUGAGACGCGAGAGCGUGGGUAGCAAACA